rnacentral:tRNA from 1 species
UAGGAUUUGGUGUAGUGUGGUAGCACGAAGAUUUUUGAAUUCUUAGGGCUAGGUUCAAUUCCUAGAGUUCUAG